AGCUACUACACAAACCCGACCCCAUUUCCAACAACUAUCAUACCAAUACUCAGCUUCUUGCAAAAAUCAUUUUUUGUCUCCAAAACCAGAUUUCUUUCUUUCUUAACUUGUCGAGAUGAUGGCGAGGACAAUGAGGACGAUUACGAGGAUGAUGAGGUCCUGCCGUCAUUGUCUAGCUGGCCUUUGUCGGUUUAUUCCAUGGAUGACUAUAACGUAAAUGAGGAAGGCGACGGCAAUAACCACGAUGACGACAAAGAUGAGGAAGAGAACGACGAUGAAGAAGCCAAGGAGGAGGUGUGACUAGAGUUGCUUUAAGCUCAAGGAGGGGCACAGCCUCGCAUUCAGGAGCGGCUUUCGACUCAAGAAGUGGUAGAGGUUCGAGUUCGCGCAACGGCUUCAACUUCAGGAAACUCAAGAUCCCAGCAUGCUUUAGAAGAUCGUGAACAGAAUCAUCUACACCCACAAGAGUUGUCACAGGAGCAAUUUCAGGACCAACUGCAUCAGCUACCGCCAUAUUGUCACUAUGCAUUUCAUAACUAGCUGUUCUCUUUCUUGGUAAACAUUGAUUAAGUGGACGGUGACAGGUGGUUAUUCAACUAUUUUGUGUAACAAAUAGUAAUCGCAGUUCCAUUUUGUUCAUUA